CGGGCGGGCCGGAUGAUCGCUGUUCCGACAUCAGUUUACUGACGGCCGGAAGGGAGGAAAGUCCGAACUCCAUCGGGCAUGGUGCCCCGUAACGCGGGGGCGGAGCAAUCCGACAGCAGCGCAACAGAGAGCAAACCGCCGAUGGCUUAUCCCUGCUGGCUUGAUUACUUGCGCGAGCGAGAAACUCAGGUGAAGCGGGAAAGCUCAGGUAAGGGUGAAACGGUGCGGUAAGAGCGCACCAGCGCCACGAGCAAUCGAGGCGGCUAGGCAAGUCUCACCAGGAGCAAGACCAAAUAGGCCGCACUUUCGUCUGCCUUUUUUAUUGGCGCCGACGAAGAGAAUCGCCCAGUCGAAUCCUGCCUUUUGAACGGCAGGGAGUGCGGCGGGUAGGUCGCCGGAUCCAAUCAGCAAUGGUUGGACUAGAGGAAUGAUCAUCACCCGGACUCCGGGUACAAAAUUCGGCUUACAGGCCCGACCCGGCUG
rnacentral:RNase_P_RNA from 1 species